rnacentral:rRNA from 1 species
AGAGUUUGAUCAUGGCUCAGGAUGAACGCUAGCGAUAGGCCUAACACAUGCAAGUCGAGGGGCAGCACAUGAGUAGCAAUACGAUGGUGGCGACCGGCGCACGGGUGAGUAACACGUAUGCAACCUACCUUUAACAGGGGAAUAACCCGUUGAAAAACGGACUAAUACUCCAUAACACAGGGGUCCCGCAUGGGAAUAUUUGUUAAAGAUUAAUCGGUUGAAGAUGGGCAUGCGUUCCAUUAGCUUGUUGGUGAGGUAACGGCUCACCAAGGCCACGAUGGAUAGGGGAACUGAGAGGUUUAUCCCCCACACUGGAACUGAGACACGGUCCAGACUCCUACGGGAGGCAGCAGUGAGGAAUAUUGGUCAAUGGAGGCAACUCUGAACCAGCCAAGUCGCGUGAAGGAUGAAGGUCUUAUGGAUUGUAAACUUCUUUUGCAAGGGAAUAAAGUGGGGGACGUGUCCUCCUUUGCAUGUACCUUGCGAAUAAGGAUCGGCUAACUCCGUGCCAGCAGCCGCGGUAAUACGGAGGAUCCGAGCGUUAUCCGGAUUUAUUGGGUUUAAAGGGUGCGCAGGCGGGAUGUUAAGUCGGCGGUGAAAUUUUGCAGCUCAACUGUAAAAGUGCCUUCGAUACUGGCUUUCUUGAGUGUGGAUGAAGUAGGCGGAAUUUGUGGUGUAGCGGUGAAAUGCUUAGAUAUCACGAGGAACUCCGAUUGCGCAGGCAGCUUACUAAACCACUACUGACGCUCAUGCACGAAGGCGUGGGGAUCAAACAGGAUUAGAUACCCUGGUAGUCCACGCAGUAACGAUGAUUACUAGUUGUUUGCGAUACAAUGUAAGCGACUGAGCGAAAGCGUUAGUAAUCCACCUGGGGAGUACGUUCGCAAGAAUGAAACUCAAAGGAAUUGACGG